rnacentral:tRNA from 1 species
GCCCAGAUGGUGGAAUUGGCAGACACGCUAGAUUCAGGUUCUAGUGGGAAACCAUGGGGGUUCAAGUCCCCCUCUGGGCA